GCCCAGGUGGCGGAAUUGGUAUACGCGCUAGUCUUAGGAACUAGUGGAGAAAUCCUUGGAGGUUCAAGUCCUCUCCUGGGCACCA
rnacentral:tRNA from 1 species